AUUGAACGCUAGCGGGAUGCUUUACACAUGCAAGUCGAACGGCAGCGCGGACUUCGGUCUGGCGGCGAGUGGCGAACGGGUGAGUAAUGUAUCGGAACGUGCCCAGUAGCGGGGGAUAACUACGCGAAAGCGUAGCUAAUACCGCAUACGCCCUACGGGGGAAAGCAGGGGAUCGUAAGACCUUGCACUAUUGGAGCGGCCGAUAUCGGAUUAGCUAGUUGGUGAGGUAACGGCUCACCAAGGCGACGAUCCGUAGCUGGUUUGAGAGGACGACCAGCCACACUGGGACUGAGACACGGCACAGACUCCUACGGGAGGCAGCAGUGGGGAAUUUUGGACAAUGGAGGCAACACUGAUCCAGCCAUCACGCGUGUGCGAUGAAGGCCUUCGGGUUGUAAAGCACUUUUGGCAGGAAAGAAACGUCGCGGGCUAAUACCCCGUGGAACUGACGGUACCUGCAGAAUAAGCACCGGCUAACUACGUG
rnacentral:rRNA from 1 species